rnacentral:rRNA from 1 species
UACGGGGGGAGCAAGCGUUGUUCGGAUUUACUGGGCGUAAAGGGCGCGUAGGCGGUCGUGACAAGUCACUUGUGAAAUCUCCGGGCUUAACUCGGAACGGUCAAGUGAUACUGUCGGACUAGAGUACAGAAGGGGCAACUGGAAUUCUCGGUGUAGCGGUGAAAUGCGUAGAUAUCGAGAGGAACACCUGCGGCGAAGGCGGGAUUGCUGGGCUGAUACUGACGCUGAGGCGCGAAAGCCGGGUGG